UGUCUCUCUCUCUCUCUCUCCCAUUUCACGACAACUCCUCUCUCCCUUUUCUCCCAUUUCUCUCUUCGGUUUUUGGCACUCACUUUCUCGAUUUCAAGUUCUCAUCGGCAUGGUUAUGUACUUCGACAUCUCCAUUUAUCCAUCUUCAUUCGUCUUUUUCCACACUUAUAAACCUAACCCUCACUAUAGUUGGAUUCAGAUUUCACUCUCUCCUUGACAUAAUUUCAUAAUAACAAUUAAAGCUUCACAUACUUCUUCAUAUCAGUUGAAGCAGGAUGUAUUUAUUUGUCCUUUUGCAAUGAUGCCCUUGUUUAUGUGACACUUGGGUCUUCUAGGGAAUCAAGAGACCUGACUUCAAAUUUUGUGAGUUAGGGAAUUACCAGGCUAGGAUGAAAACCCUUUUGGAGAUGAGGCAACAACUACUCCAAAGAAAAUAUUUCAACUUUUGAAUGAGGGAUAACUUGUAUUGAAGGAAGUGAUGGAAGUAAUAUUGCUUGGCCCACACACAAAGUUACAAUGAGGUGAUGAAGAUAGCGACACAAGACUUGGAUGCUUGCAAUUAAUAAAGAGAUAGUACUAGACAAAUGUUACAAUUUGUCUUUUAUUGGACUCAUUAGACAUUAUAUUUCUAAGCAUGAACUUUCAUUAUGGUA